UCGGGCUUGAACCUGGCAUACAAUGUAGAUUUCUGUGUUUGUUAAGCAACAGCUACAUUGUCUGCUGGGUUUCAGGCUACCUG
rnacentral:pre_miRNA from 2 species